rnacentral:lncRNA from 1 species
AACGGCUUUCCUGUUGGGCGAACCCUUAACAAGGAAAUAACUGGCUCCAAACAUCCAGGGGCGGCGGGGAGUUCACAGCAGAGCCAGCUCUGAACUCCGCAGCUUGAGCUCCCGGGUACAAUGCAGCCGGCCCCUGCGCAUGGAGCUGCCGGUGGCGGAGCUGCGGGGAGCUGCCCUUAUUUAUUUGUUCCUACCGCACGGGCUGAGACACGGGCUGUGUUUUAUGUUCCUCUGCAGGAAGGUGAUAAAGUGCCUGAGAGCUGCCGAAAACCCUUCGCCAAUAAAUUCAAAGGGAAAGGCCAUUUCUCAUGCCUUGGAAGGGGAGCUGAGGGAUGCUGGAAGGCAGAGAAGACUGAAACGGCGCGUCGCAUGGCAGCGUGGCAGGAGGCACAGGAGCAAAUUUUCUGCUCCUGUAUGUGGGUGCCCUGAAAUUCACCCACGUGCUGCAAGAUUUGAAAAACAUACUCCACAAACCAGUGUGCUGUUCAAGAAAUGGUGGUAUGGGCAAUUUUUCAAUCCUCCAGCGCAGUUUGGAGCAUGGGCUGCAGCGAAAGUUCCAGGCAGGUGAGGUGGCUGAGCUGGUGGAGAUCUCACAAGGUGCUGCUGGGCACUGCUGCCGCAGCCAACGCUGUGAGCAGCCGAUGACUCAGGUC